rnacentral:rRNA from 1 species
UACCAGCACCCCGAGUGGUCGGGACGAUUAUUGGGCCUAAAGCAUCCGUAGCCGGCCUUACAAGUCCUCCGUUAAAUCCAGCUGCUUAACAGAUGGGCUGCGGAGGAUACUAUAAGACUAGGAGGCAGGAGAGGCAAGCGGUACUCAGUGGGUAGGGGUAAAAUCCGUUGAUCCAUUGAAGACCACCAGUGGCGAAGGCGACUCGCUGGACUUGUGGUGACGCUGAGACGCGAAAGCGUGGGUAGCAAACAGG